UACGUAGGCAGCAAGCGUUGUUCGGAGUUACUGGGCGUAAAGAGUGUGUAGGCGGUUUGCCAAGUUCGGUGUGAAAUCUCCCGGCUUAACUGGGAGGGUGCGCCGAAAACUGGCAGGCUUGAGUGCGGGAGAGGAGAGCGGAAUUCCUGGUGUAGCGGUGAAAUGCGUAGAGAUCAGGAGGAACACCUGCGGUGUAGACGGCUCUCUGGACCGCAACUGACGCUGAGACACGAAAGCGUGGGUAGCAAAC
rnacentral:rRNA from 1 species